rnacentral:misc_RNA from 1 species
UUUCCGUAGGUGAACCUGCGGAAGGAUCNUUAAUGAGGGCGUGUGGGCUAAUAUCCCCGCGAACCCUAACCCUCUGUUUACUGCCCCAUUGUGGUUUUUACUUGGGCGCGGUUGGGCCUUUUUUUUUUUUUUUUUUAAGRAAAGRAAAGAGAGAAAGAGCUUUUGUGAUAUGCCCAAAAGGCUGCCACAAUUUYCCUUUCCWUCCCCCCCCACCCAAAAAAAAAAAUAAAAACAAUCACACAAAAAUAAAAAUCUGAUAACAAAUAUUUGAUGUCUGAAGUAAAAUCUUAAAUAAGCAAAACUUUCAACAACGGAUCUCUUGGUUCCGGCAUCGAUGAAGAACGCAGCGAAAUGCGAUAAGUAAUGUGGACCGCAGUACUCAGCGACUCAUCGAAUCUUUGAACGCACAUUGCGCCACUUGGUAUCACCAAAGGGCACACCUGUUCGAGCGUCAUCAUACAUCGCAUCAAGUCAAGGGCCCGGCUUGCAAAUGGGCUUUGUCUGCUUUAUGUAGAAGUCUAAAAGUCAGUGGCGGUUUAAGUUAGGCAUUCCAGCGUAGUGGGAUUAAAUUAGCUGUUGAAAUGUCUUUUACUUGACAGCCAAAAUGUCCAGGUUUUCUGCUGGCGGAGACCCCCAGGGUUUCUGUUGGCGGGAGACCCUUGGAUUUUAUCAACUAUGACCUCGGAUCAGG